ACUAGGAAUUUUGCGCAAUGGGGGCAACCCUGACGCAGCGACACAGCGUGGAGGAGGAAGGUCUUCGGAUUGUAAACUCCUUUUAUAUGGGAAGAAUAGAUGACUGUACCAUAUGAAUAAGCACCUGCUAACUACGUGCCAGAAGCAUCGGUGAUGCGUAGGGUGCGAACGUUAUCCGGAUUUAUUGGGCGUAAAGAGAUGCGUAGGCGUUUCAGUUAGUCUUUCGUUAAAAGUCACGGCUUAACCGUGAAGAUGCGUUGGAUACUGCUGAAAUUGAGACAUGAAGGGGUGAACGGAACUCCAAGUGGAGCGGUGAAAUGCGUUGAUAUUUGGAAGAACAUCAGAGGCGAAGGCGGUUCACUGGUCAUUGUCUGACGCUAAGGCUCGAAAGCGUGGGUAGCAAAACGGAUUAGAAACCCGUGUAGUCC
rnacentral:rRNA from 1 species